UCUCCGUUGGUGAACCUGGGGAGGGAUCAUUACUGAGCGAGGGUUUAACCGCCCGACCUCCAACCCUUUGUCAAUCGUACUCGUGGCUUCGGGGGCGACCCUGCCGUCCGCGGCUGAGCGCCCCCGGGGUCAAUCAAACACUGCAUUCUCUGCGUCGGAGUAUUAGUAAAUCUAAUCAAAACUUUCAACAACGGAUCUCUUGGCUCUCGCAUCGAUGAAGAACGCAGC
rnacentral:misc_RNA from 1 species